rnacentral:lncRNA from 1 species
UCAGAAUCCCGGGGAAAGCAGUUAGCCCUGUGGUGCUGCCGGGCGUCUCUUGGCAAAGCCUCUUAGGGGUUGUAUCAAAUAGUAAACGAUUUUAAAAUUGAUUCAUUUGGUUAGGGGAGGAGAAUGGCGUGGAUGGAGAGAUGUGGACACCUCGUGAACAAGGAGGUAACAAGGAGGAUUGGAAGGCACAAAGUAAAGAAAAUGAAAAUUAGAAACUUGUGAAAAGGAGCAUUACCCAUUGCAGUUCUUCAAACUUCAGACUUCCUUCUGUCUUGGAAUUAUUUGAAAACUAUCAUGAUUUCCACUUUGCUCUUUGAUGUUUGUGUUUUCAUAUUCUCCCUUUUUAAAGCAAAUUCCCAAAAUAUAAAAGCAUCAUUUGCCAGUUU